CACCAAGUUUUAUGCGUGCAGGUUUCAAUGUUUAAGAAAAAUUACGAUCAUCUCCCAAAGGAUACAUACUUUGGCCUAUACAAAGAAGCAACACGUGGUAAUCCAAAUUACUUCCUCACUUAUGGUAAUGGAAAAUCAGCUGCAAGGGUUCAGGAGCAUUUGCGUCCCAAUGGUGCUCAUAGAUGGCAUAAUUACAUGAAAACCCCAAACGAAAUCAAAUUGGAGGAGGCUGCUAUCCUGCAUUACACCUACACAAAAUUCUCGGACCUAACCUCAAGGAGGGAUAGGUGUGGCUGCAA